rnacentral:rRNA from 1 species
UGGGGAAUUUUGGACAAUGGGCGAAAGCCUGAUCCAGCAAUGCCGCGUGUGUGAAGAAGGCCUUCGGGUUGUAAAGCACUUUUGUCCGGAAAGAAAUCCUUGGCUCUAAUACAGUCGGGGGAUGACGGUACCGGAAGAAUAAGCACCGGCUAACUACGUGCCAGCAGCCGCGGUAAUACGUAGGGUGCAAGCGUUAAUCGGAAUUACUGGGCGUAAAGCGUGCGCAGGCGGUUUGCUAAGACCGAUGUGAAAUCCCCGGGCUCAACCUGGGAACUGCAUUGGUGACUGGCAGGCUAGAGUAUGGCAGAGGGGGGUAGAAUUCCACGUGUAGCAGUGAAAUGCGUAGAGAUGUGGAGGAAUACCGAUGGCGAAGGCAGCCCCCUGGGCCAAUACUGACGCUCAUGCACGAAAGCGUGGGGAGCAAACAGGAUUAGAUACCCUGGUAGUCCACGCCCUAAACGAUGUCAACUAGUUGUUGGGGAUUCAUUCCUUAGUAACGUAGCUAACGCGUGAAGUUGACCGCCUGGGGAGUACGGUCGCAAGAUUAAAACUCAAAGGAAUUGACGGGGUCAUA